rnacentral:lncRNA from 1 species
AGUUGUUUUGUUUUCUGUUUGUGUUCCAGAAACUGCCAAGCACACUAUUGUUCCAUUCCUUCUAUCAGACUGGACCUUUUCUGAACAGCUGCAUCUGUUAUAACUCUAUGCAGAGGGCAUUUCAUCACUGAUUUGAAACAGUCUAGAUAUUCUGGAAUAUAAAUAGUCUAGGUGUGCCCUUAACUAUCUGCAAGUACAUUUCAUACUAAGAAUAUAAAAUAAAAAUAUAAAUACUAAGGAAGUACAUUUAAUACUAAGAAUCAGUGCACAGCAAAGGUCUUAAGACAAACAGCACCGAUGCUGAACCACAGGCAGUUAUGGUUUUUAGCAUUAUAUCAUCAGGUUCUCUUUCUACCGUUACAAUAUAACUUCAGAAAUAACCUUAUGCUAUUGCUCCCAUGCGCCCAGUAUGUAAUCAGAAACUGCCAUCAUUUCUCACUUAUUGUCUUAUUUCAUGGAAGGAUUUCUGGGUUCUUGUUUUGUUUAGGAAACUCCUAAAGAAUGCUGAACAUGUCUUACAUGUUUUAACGUGUUAUUCGAGCACAUUUAAAAGCUAAGAGAUGUGUCUCCUUUCCCUGGACCAAAUAAUUUCCUCUGUGUAAACAUGCUUAAUGUUUUAAAACUUUUAUACAUGAAAAAAAAAAAAAAUCUGGCAAUCUUUUCCCCAGGAUUCUCUACAGAAAAUGUGAAUACUUCAUACUCCUUCACUGUAAAGGUCAGAAUUCAUUCAUCCUCAGAAAUCUCUAGCUUCCUUGCAGUUGCUGCAGAAGAUAAGAUCACAUACACUAAUCCUGCCAUGUUCAGAGGUGUUCUGAGGCAGCCAUUAAAUUCAUGCUAAGCGGGAAGCAAAACGAGACGACUCUUCUUGAAGCUGUGCUGCUGACAUGCAUCACAUGAAAAAGUUUUGUGAAGGUGGCUGACUUCAGCAUCCUGUGGAGCUUUCUAAAUCCUGUCACUAGGCUUGAAAAAAUAAAAUGAAAUUAAAAUAAAAUUAAAAUAAAAUA